GAUGAAGAACGUAGCGAAAUGCGAUAAGUAAUGUGAAUUGCAGAAUUCAGUGAAUCAUCGAAUCUUUGAACGCACAUUGCGCCCGCUAGUAUUCUGGCGGGCAUGCCUGUCCGAGCGUCAUUUCAACCCUCAAGCCCCCGGGCUUGGUGUUGGGGAUCGGCGAGCCUCCGCGCCCGCCGUCCCUAAAUCUAGUGGCGGUCUCGCUGUAGCUUCCUCUGCGUAGUAGCACACCUCGCACUGGGAAACAGCGCGGCCACGCCGUUAAACCCCCAACUUCUGAACGUUUGACCUCGGAUCAGGUAGGAAUACCCGCUGAACUUAAGCAUAUCAAUAAGCGGAGGA
rnacentral:misc_RNA from 1 species